rnacentral:rRNA from 1 species
UGAUGACGAGACGCUAAGGCGUUGAAGUAGUGUAUGUCAGGCUUCCAAGAAAAGCUCGCAAUGUCAUAGAUAAAAAAUGCCUGUACCAUAACCGACACAGGUGGGUAGGUAGAGUAUACUAAGGGGCGCGAGAUAACUCUCUCUAAGGAACUCGGCAAAAUGACUCCGUAACUUCGGGAGAAGGAGUGCCUUAUUUAUAAGGUUGCAAUAACAAGAUCCAAGCAACUGUUUAUCAAAAACACAGGUCUCCGCUAAGUCGUAAGACGAUGUAUGGGGGCUGACGCCUGCCCAGUGCCAGAAGGUUAAAGAAGUUGGUUAGUUUAUACGGAGCUGAUGACUGAAGCCCUGGUGAACGGCGGCCGUAACUAUAACGGUCCUAAGGUAGCGAAAUUCCUUGUCGGGUAAGUUCCGACCCGCACGAAAGGCGUAAUGAUUUGGAUACUGUCUCGGAGAGAGGCUCGGUGAAAUAGACUUGUCUGUGAAGAUGCGGACUACCUGCACCAGGACAGAAAGACCCUAUGAAGCUUUACUGUAACUUGAAAUUGGAAUUGGACUUUGCUUGCGCAGUAUAGGUGGGAAGCGUUGAAGAUACUCUUGCGGGAGUAUUGGAGCUAUCAGUGAGAUACCACUCUUGUAAUGUUAGAUUUCUAACUUUGAACCAUAAUCUGGUCAAAGAACAGUUUCAGGUGGGCAGUUUGACUGGGGCGGUCGCCUCCCAAAUGGUAACGGAGGCGUACAAAGGUUUCCUCUGAACGGAUAGAAAUCGUAUCUAGAGUGUAAAGGCAUAAGGAAGCUUGACUGUGAGACCUACAAGUCGAGCAGGGACGAAAGUCGGUCUUAGUGAUCUGACGGUACUGAGUGGAAAGGCCGUCACUCAACGGAUAAAAGUUACUCUAAGGAUAACAGGCUGAUCUCCCCCAAGAGUUCACAUCGACGGGGAGGUUUGGCACCUCGAUGUCGGCUCAUCGCAUCCUGGGGCGGUAGUACGUCCCAAGGGUUGGGCUGUUCGCCCAUGAAAGCGGUACGCGAGCUGGGUUCAGAACGUCGUGAGACAGUUCGGUCCAUAUCCGGUGUAGGCGCUAGAAUAUUGAGAGGAGCCUUCUUUAGUACGAGAGGACCGAGAAGGACACACCGCUGGUGUACCAGUUAUCGUGCCAACGGUAAACGCUGGGUAGCUAUGUGUGGGGUGGAUAACCGCUGAAAGCAUCUAAGUGGGAAGCCCACCUCAAGAUGAGUAUUCUCAUCACUAUAAGUGAGUAAGGUCACGGUAAGACUAACCGUUCGAUAGGCAUUAAGUGUAAGUACAGUAAUGUAUGUGCUGAGAUGUCCUAACAGACCGAGGACUUG